rnacentral:rRNA from 1 species
UGCGUAAAGCGUCCGUAGCCGGCUUUGUAAGUUUUCGGUUAAAUCUAUAUGCUCAACAUAUAGGCUGCCGGAAAUACUGUAAAGCUAGGGAGUGGGAGAGGUAGACGGUACUCCGUAGGAAGGGGUAAAAUCCUUUGAUCUAUGGAUGACCACCAGUGGCGAAGGCGGUCUACCAGAACACGUUCGACGGUGAGGGAUGAAAGCUGGGGGAGCAAACCGGAUUAGAUACCCGGGUAGUCCCAGCUGUAAACUAUGCAAACUCAGUGAUGCAUUGGCUUGUGGCCAGUGCAGUGCCGCAGAGAAGUCGUUAAGUUUGCCGCCUGGGAAGUACGUACGCAAGUAUGAAACUUAAAGGAAUUGGCGGGGGAGCACCACAAGGGGUGAAGCCUGCGGUUCAAUUGGAGUCAACGCCAGAAAUCUUACCCGGAGAGACAGCAGGAUGAAGGUCAAGCUGAAGACUUUACCAGACAAGCUGAGAAGUGGUGCAUGGCCGUCGCCAGCUCGUGCCGUGAGGUGUCCUGUUAAGUCAGGUAACGAGCGAGAUCCUUGCCUCUAGUUGCUACCAUUACUCUCAGGAGUAGUGGAGCGAAUUAGCGGGACUGCCGUAGUUAAUACGGAGGAAGGAGAGGGCCACGGCAGGUCAGUAUGCCCCGAA